AGCAGCCGCGGUAAUUCCAGCUCCAAUAGCGUAUAUUAAAGUUGCUGCAGUUAAAAAGCUCGUAGUUGAAUUUCGGGAUCAAUAUGUUGGUCGUGCCUCGGUACGUACUAGCUUAUUGGUUUCUCCCUUCUGACGAACCAUGAUGUCAUUUAUUUGGUGUUAUGGGAAAUCAGGACUGUUACUUUGAAAAAAUUAGAGUGUUUAAAGCAGGCUCACGCUUGAAUACAUUAGCAUGGAAUAAUGAAAUAGGACGUUUGAUUCUAUUUUGUUGGUUUCUAGGAUCGACGUAAUGAUUAAUAGGGAUAGUUGGGGGCAUUAGUAUUCAAUUGUCAGAGGUGAAAUUCUUGGAUUUAUUGAAUGACUAACUAACUGCGAAAGUCAUUGCCAAUGGAUGUUUUCAUUAAUCAAUGAACGAAAGUUAGGGGUAUCGAAGACGAUCAGAUACCGUCGUAGCCUUAACCAUAAACUAUGCCGACUAGGGAUCGGAUGAUGUUAAUUUUUUCAAUGACCCAUUCGGCGC
rnacentral:misc_RNA from 1 species